rnacentral:snoRNA from 1 species
AAGCCAUGAUGAGGACACUCUAAGAGAAGAUCCUUAAAAUGUUCCAUACAUCUAGAAAACGAUUCAUUUGGUCUUUGACGAAAUUGGAGAAUGUCGUUCCUAAGUUU